UCGAAAAACUCUGAGACUUUGCCGAAGAAAGCAACUCUCUAUCAGUCACCAUUUAAGAAAUAACUUUAAACCCCUAAUUGACCCACCCAUUUCCAACUUUUUACAUUUUUCACAUACUCCCCUCUGUUCCACUCGUAAAACUCUGAGAGUUUGCCGAAGAAAGUAACUC